rnacentral:rRNA from 1 species
AUACGGAGGGUGCGAGCGUUGUUCGGAAUUACUGGGCGUAAAGCGCGUGUAGGCGGCUGAUUAAGUCUGGUGUGAAAGCCCGGGGCUCACCCCCGGAAGUGCGCUGGAAACUGGUCAGCUAGAGUAUGGGAGAGGGAAGCGGAAUUCCUGGUGUAGCGGUGAAAUGCGUAGAUAUCAGGAGGAACACCGGCGGCGAAGGCGGCUUCCUGGACCAAUACUGACGCUGAGACGCGAAAGCGUGGGGAGCAAACAGGAUUAGAUACCCGGGUAGUCC